rnacentral:tRNA from 1 species
GAGUCGUUAGCUCAGCCGCUUAUGUUAUAAAGCUAGGGCAGUUGGCUUUUAACCAAUUGGUCGAAGGUUCGAAUCCUUCACGACCCACCA